AGACCAUAUAGUGAUUCUACUGUUUCUUAUUAUUAUUAAGGUCUUCCGUCUCAACGGAAGACCUUCUAGUGAUUCUUAUGUUUCUUUUCCUCUAUUAUUAGGGUCUUCCGUCUUCAGCGGAAGACCCUUCUAUUAUUCUAUUGUUGAUUUUUCACUUUUCUUAUUAUUAUUAAGGUCUUCCGUCUCCUGCGGAAGACCUUACUAUUAUUGUUCGCGUUCUUCUUCUUCAUUAUUAUUAUUAUUAUUAUUUUCCUUGGUAGUACACGCGUUUUUCUCAGCCAUUUCUCGAUCGAUUUUCACGAAAUUUUCAGGAAAGAUGUCUUUUGGUGACGAGACUUUGCUUGCAAAAUUUCGUGCUUGACGUCACUUCCGGUCAGGAGUUAUCUCUCUUUUAGUGACUUUUUGAAGGGCCUUGUUGUCCACACAUCUCCUCCGUUAGUUUUGAAGCUAGAGUCUUGAAAUUUCUACACAAGAUAGAGUAAACAUUUUAGAAGAUUUGUGGGGGAUUCGAUUUUACCGGAGGCGAUUUGCCUAAACGCUCGCCUGGACCUGAAAAAAUGGAUGCCAAAAUUAUUUGCCGAUUUCGGCGAUUUUUGACCUUUGAUCUCCAAUAUCUUUUUUCUUGCAAAUAUUUUGUUAAGACAUGUAGAACAAAAGUUGUGCACAUUUACGAGAUCUUUUCGAAAAUAUCAAGAUUUAGGGGCUAGCCCCUUAAAUUAGGGAUCUAGAAGGGCUCAAAGUCUAGAUCAAAUAUCUCAAAAAUCGUUAAUAUUUUGGUAUAAGUCAAACAACAAAAAAUGUUCAUCUCAACAAUCCAAAUCUAUUCAUAUAAAAAUUUAGGUCAUAUGUUACGUAAUAAGGGAUUUUAAGGGCCAAAACCAUAAAUUUUUUACCCCUUGUAUCUCGAAAACGACAAAUAUUUUGAAAAGCAAUAAAGAACAAAAGUUGUUCAGAAUGAUGAUCUGAACAAUAUGCAUAUUUCGUUUUUACCCUAUGUGGCCCCGUUAGGGAGCUACAGUUUGGCCCCUAAAAAUUACUUCUAGAAAUAACUCGAGAACGGUAAAGAAUUUCUAAAUACUUGUUGAACAAAAAAUGUUUGAAAUGUCAUGACCUUUCUUACGAUAUCAAGCAAAAGGGGCUGACCCUUUAAAUUAGGGGCCCAGAAGGGUCCAAAGGUUGAUGAGAAUAUCUCAGAAACUAUUAAUAUUUUGUAAUAAGUCAUUGAAGCGGAAAUGUUCAUCUCAACGAGUUUGUUCUUAUCAAAUCAAAAAGUAGGUCAUAUGUUACGUAAUAAGGGAUUUUAAGGGCCAAAAUCAUAAAUAAUUGACGCCUCAUAUCUUGAAAACGACAAAUAUUUUGAGAAGCAUUAUUGAACAAAAGUUGUUCAGAAUGAUAAUCUAAACAAUAUGUACAUUUCGUUUUUUCCCUAUGUGGCCCCGUUAGGGAGCUACAGUUUGGCCCCUAAAUAUUUCUUGUAGAGAUAACUCGAGAACGGUAAAGAAUUUCUAAAUACUUGUUGAGCAAAAAAUGUUUCAAAUGACAAGGCCUUUCUUACGAUAUCAAGCAAAACGGGCUGGCCCUUUAAAUUAGGGGUUCAGAAGGGUCCAAAUGUUUUUGAGAAUAUCUCAGAAACUAUUAAUAUUUUAUAAUAAGUUGUAGAAGCGGAAAUGUUCAUCUCAACGAACUUGAUCUUAUCAAAUCAAAAAGUAGGUCAUAUGUUACGUAAUUAGAGAUUUUAAGGGCCAAAAUCGUAAAUAUUUGACGCCUCAUAUCUUUAAAACGACAUAUUUUUUGAAAAGCAUUAUUGAACAAAAGUUGUUCAAUGUGUCAUAACCUAUCGAUCAAUAUCAAAAAAUGGGUCUGUGGGCCUCAUGGCUCGCCUGUAGAGUCGAUUUUUGUCGAUAUCAGUCGAUUUCAAAAACUUGUAACUGGUAAAUAUUUUGUAAGGACAUAUUGAACAAAAGUUGUUCAGUUUAUCGAGAUCUAUCGAUUGAUAUCAAGAAAUAGGCCUAUGGUCCUAAUGGCUCGCCUGUAGAGUCGAUUUUUUGUCGAUAUCGGUCGAUCUCAAUAACUUUUUACAGGUAAAUAUUUUGUAAAGACAUAUAGAACUAAAGUUGUCGAGUCUAUAGAGGGCUAACAAAUGACAUCAAGAAAUAGGCCCGCGGGCCUUAUGGCUCUCCUGGAGAGUCGAAUUUCAAACGAAUUUCACCGCAACUUUGCUUCAGAAGCUUAUGAUAUGAAAAAUUGAUUAUAUCUAAAGUGUCUUAAAGUCGGAAACUAAAUUGGGACUCAUUUGUCUUUUCUUUUUUUUUUUAACUCCGAGUGCAUCAACAAAUCGGACGGAAGACCUACUCGUUGCUCGCAACGAGAUCGUGUCUAGUUAUUAUUAUUAUUCUUUUUUUUUCUCCUUACCGAUUUUUGUGCAGAAGAUUUCUCGGAGAUGGCUGGAUCGAUUUACUUCAAAUUUUUAGGGUUGAUGCGUUGCCAUUUGAAGUUUGUACCGCCGUUUCAAUUUUUCAAAAAUCACUUCCGGUUGGGAGUUAUCCCCCUUUUAUCGAUUUUCAAAUGACCAUUUUGUCCAAACAAAAACUCAAAAACGAUAAAAGUUAGAGUGCUGAAAUUUUCAGUGAUGUUAGACGACAUGUUGUAGUUGUGCACCUGGGUUUUCAAAAUUUCCGGAAGUGUCUAGUAUGGAAGCUCGGUAGGGGUCGAAAAUGGAGUUUAAAAAAGUGUACAAGUUUUUUCCACGUUUUAAAUCAUAACUUUUUACUCGUAAAUAUUUUGUUUAGACAUAUAUAACAAAAGUUGUACAGUUUAUUGAGAUCUUUCGUGCCAUAUCAAGAAAUGGGCCCAUGGGCCUCAUGGCUCGCCUGAACCAUUGAAUUUCUGUUACAAUGAUUAACUUUUUUCUCACGAAACUUUUGAUAAGACAUGUAGGAUAAAAGUUGUUCAAUUUUGCAAGAUCUAUCUAAUGAUAUCUACAAAAAGGCCUCCGGGCAUCAUAGCUCGCCUGAACAGUCGAAUUUGUAACACAAUUAAUAGCAUUAAUGACUUUUUUCUCGAGAAACUUUUGACAAGACAUGUAGAACAAAAGUUGUUCAGUUUCGCAAGCGUUAACUAACGAUGUUAAGAAAUAGGCCUGCAUGUCUCAUUGCUCACCUGAACAGUUGGGUUAUUGUUGCAAUCUAUAACAUUUUUGUCAAGAAACUUUUAAUAAGACAUCUAGAACAAAAGUUGUUCAGAUUUGCAAGAUGUUUCGAACAACAUUAUAAAAAACGUCAACGGGCCUCAUGGCUCGCCUCAAGAGUUUGCUUAGUGUCACAAUCGAUAACUUUUUUCUGGAGAAACUUUUUAUAAGACAUGUACAACAAAAGUUGUUCAGUUUCGCAAGUGUUAACCUAACGAUGUUAUGAAAUAGGCCUGCGAGUCUCAUGGCUCACCUGAACAGUUGGGUUAUUGUUGCAAGCUAUAACAUUUUUGUCAAGAAACUUUUAGUAAGACAUCUAGAACAAAAGUUGUUCAGUUUUGCAAGAUCUUUCGAACAACAUCAUGAAAAAGACGAACAGGCCUCAUGGCUCGCCUGAACAGUUUGAUUAGUGUCACAAUCAAUAACUUUUUUCUCGAAAAACUUUUGAUAAGACAUGUAGAACAAAAGUUGUUCAGGUUUGCAAGAUUUUUCAAAUGAUAUUAAAAAAGAGGCCCACGGGCCUUAUGACUCGCCUUAACAGCCUGAUAAAUGUCGCAAUAAAUAACUUUUUUCUCAAGAAAAUUUUAAUAAACACAUGUAGAACAAAAUUUGUUCAGUUUUGCGAGAUAUAUCUAGAAUGAUAUUUUUAAAAAAUAGGCCUCCGGGCGACAUGACUCGCCUGAUCAGUCGAAUUUGUAUCGCAGUAAAUAACAUUAUCAACUUUUUUGUCGAAAAAAAAGGCUGACCCCUUUAACUAGUGGCCGAGAACCGCAGAGAUUCUUUAAUUUAUAGCACUUAAAUGAUCAAUAUUUGUAAAACAUUACCGAAGCUAAAUUGUACGUCUAGACAAUAUAUUUGUAUCAUUAUUUAUGAACGAAAAUCUCAGUCAAAUUCUUAUCUCAUCACAUCUAAAAUUGGAUGGAAGACCCACUCGUUGCUCGCAACGAGAUCGCAUCUAGUUAUUAUUAUUGGUCUUUUUCUUACCGAUUUUGUGCACGCGAUUUCUCAAAAACGGUUCAAUAGAUUUUCAUGAAACUUUCAGGAAAAAUGUAAAAUAGGAUUUUCUAGAACAGUUUUUUUAGUUUUUCCAAAAUCACUUCCGGUCGCAAGUUACGGCCGAAUUUCCGUUUUUCAAAUGACAUUGUCCGGGCGUUUUCUCAUAAACGGUUAAAAAUUGGGUCUUCAAACUUUCAGGGAUGAUCCAUGGUGACUUGUAGCUGUGCAAUAGGGUAUUAUCAUUGUCAUCCGUCACUUCCGGCCGUCGCCGGAAGUGAACAAAAGAAAAGUCAAAUUUCAAACUUAUGCUUUUGAAACAAAACUUGCAUAGAUUAAUUAGAUAUCUUUCGGCGUUUCAGAAAAUGUUAGACUUACUGGAAGUUUAACCAACAACUUCCGAUUUUUAGAGAAAAACUUCGAAAAAAUGAUCUUUCUUUGUCCUCGUAUAUCUCGUUUACUUAUCAAACUUUUCAUACAAUAUUUACAGAUAUUAUUGACAUUAUCCAUCUUAAGAGAACCCUGUAACACUAUUUCAAAAUUCACUUCCGGUCACAAGUUACGGCCGAAUUUCUGUUUUUCAAAUGAUAUUUUGUCCGGGCGUUUACUAAUAAACGGUUAACGAUUGAGUCUUCAAACUUUCAGGGAUGAUAGAUUAUGACUUGUAGCUGUGCAAUAGGGUAUUUUCAUUGCCAUCCGUCACUUCUGGCCGUCACCGGAAGUGAACAAAAGAAACGUUAAAUUUCAAACUAAUGCUUUUGAAACAAAACUUGCAUAGAUUAAUUGGGUCUCUUUCGGCGUUUCAGAAAAUGUUAGACUUUAAGGAAGUUUAAUCAGCAACUUCCGGUUUUAAGAGAAAAACUUCAAAAAAUUGGUCUUUUUUUUUGUCCUCGUAUAUCUCGCUUAGUUAUCAACAUUUUAAUACGAUGUUUCAAGAUAUUAUUGACAUUAUCCAUCUCUGUAGAACACUUUAAUACUAUCUCAAAAUUCUCUUCGGGUCGCAAGUUAAGGCCGAAUUUUCGUUUUUCAAAUUACAUUUUGUUCGGGCGUUUUCUCCUAAACGAUUAACGAUUGAGUCUUUAUACUUUCAGGAAUGAUAGAUAGUGACCUGUAGCUCUGUAAUAAAGGUUUAUCAUUGCUAUCCGUCACUUCCGGCCGUCACCGGAAAGUGAACAAAAGAAACUUCAAAUUUCAGAGUUAUGCUUUUGAAACAAAACUUGCAUAGGUUCAUUGGGUCUCUUUCGGAGUUUCAGAAAAUGCUAGACUUACCGGAAGUUUAAUCUACAACUUCCGGUUUUUAGAGGAACCCUUCGAAAAAAUGGUCUUUCUUUGUUCUCAUAUAUCUCGCUUAUCUAUCUACUUUUUAAUACGAUAUUUACAGAUAUUAUUGACAUUAUCCAUCUCUGGGACACCCUUUUAAUACUAUUUCAAAAUUCACUUCCGGUCACGAGUUAGGGCCAAAUUUCCGUUUUUCAAAUGACAUUUUGGUUGGCUGUUUUUUCAUAAACGGUUAAUAAUAGAGUCUUUCAACUUUCAGGAUAUGAUUGGUGGUGACUUGUAGCUUUCUAAAAUGAUUUAUAAUUGUCAUCCGUCACUUCCGGCCACCACCGAAAGUCAACGAAAGAAACAUCAAAUAAAUUUACACUUUUCAAACAAAAUGUGUGCUUGAAAUAAUUAAGUGUCUUUUGGAGUCUCAGAAAAUGUUACAGUUACCGGAAGUUUAAACAACAACUUCCGGUUUUUAGAGAAAAACUUCAAAAAAGUGUUCUUUCUUUGCUAUCAUAUCUCUCGCUUAUAAAUGAAGUGUUUGUUAUGAUUUUCACAUAUACAAUUGACAUUAUCCAUCUUCAGAGUUUAGUGAAUUAUUUUUUUUUUUCAAAAGUCACUUCCGUUCGUUAAUAUCUACGAUUUCCGUUGCUGUUUUUUCUCCAGGCGUUUUCUAAUGAAUAAUCAAAGAUUGAGUCUUGAAACCUUCAGGAAAGUUAGAUGGUGACAUGUAGAUGUGAAAUACGUGUUUUAAUUUAAUUUUCCUGCCGUCACUUCCGUCAUCCACCGGAAGUACCUUAAAAAUAUGUAAUUUUUCAUUUUUUUUUUUAAAAUUCAAAUGCUCAUAACAUUAUUUAAUAGAGUGUAAUGCCAUACCAUUUCCACCGGAAGUUGGUUGUUCGAAACCGGCAGUUGUCCCAAAACUCUGCAUUUUUCACCGAAAUAUUUAGUGUGGGUUCCUACACGGUAAUUGUGGAAUUUUCAAUCGUUUUAUGGACUCCCAAGAUACUCGAAAGUGAAUAAAACAAAACCGAAAUUGUUUGUAAAUGAUACAUUACGUCUUACAUGUAUACGUUUAUCACUGUUUUUUCUUUUUUUUUUAAAAAUAGGUGUUUAUUCCAUUCAUGUAUAGUCGUUCUUCAAUAAUUGAAUUCUCCCAGUCAAGAUCCUAUCUCGUCAGAAAUUGGAUGGAAGACCUAUUCGUUGCUCGCAACAAGAUCAUUUCUAGUUAUUAUUAUUAUUUUUUUUACCAAAUUUUGUGCAGGAGUUUUCUCGAAAACUAUACAGUGGUUUUCAGUGAAACUUUCAGUGAAACUUUCAGGAAAAAUGCGUUUUAUUAUGAACUUUGUUUAUCACAAAAACAAUUGGGAAAAUUUUAUUUCGGUUCCAAGUUAUGGACAAUUUUCUGAUUUUCAAAUGGAACUUUGUCCGCGAAUGAUCUCAGGAACGGCUAAAGAUAUGAACUGGAGACUUAUUAGAGAUGAUAGAACAUGACUUAUAGAUUUGCGUGAGCACUAUUUCGUACGUCGUCAUCACUUCCGGUCGCUACCGGAAGCGAAUUUUAAAAAUGGAUUUUUUCAACUUUUUUGUUUUUUACUGUUUUUCUUUGAUAAAGGUAAGAUAAAUAGAGACUCUUUAUAGAAUGCUGAAUAUGAUAUUUGUUUUUAAAUUGAUCAAACCAAACUCUAGAUAUUCGUAGUUUUAAUUUUGAAGAGAGGUCCUCGCUAGCUUAAUGGUUAGCGUGGUGGAUUUCCAUGCGGGUGACCCAGGUUCAAUCCCUGAGAUUAUUCGAAUAUUUUUUUCCCACUUUAUAACAAAUGAAGAAUUUAAGGUUAUCUACUGGACACGGAAAGAACGGAAGACCUUCUUGUUGCCAUGGCAACAAGUUUCUAGUUAUUAUUAUUUUUAUUCUUUUUUUUUUUCCUUACCGAUUUUGUGCAGAGGAUUUCUCAGAGAUGGCUUGAUCGAUUUACUUCAAAUUUUAAGGGUUGAUGCAUUGCUAUCUGAAGUUUAUAUCUUUUUUUGGAUUUUUGAAAAUUCACUUCCGGUUGGAAGUUAUCCCCCUUUUAUCGAUUUUCAGAUGACCAUUCUGUCCGGCCAAAAUCUCAGAAACGAUAAAAGCUAGAGUGCUGAAAUUUUCAGUGAUGUUAGACGACAUGUUGUAGUUGUGCACAUGGGUUUUAAAAAUUUCCGGAAGUGCCUAGUAUGGAAGUUCGGUAGGGGUCGAAAAUGGAGUUUAAAAAAGUGUCCCAUUUUUUUCCACCUUUUAAAUCAUAACUUUUUACUCGUAAAUAUUUUGCUUAGAUAUAUAUAACAAAAGCUGUACAAUUUAUGGAGAUCUUUCCUGUCAUAUCAAGAAAUGGGCCCAUAUGCCUCAUGGCUUGCCUGAACCAUUGAAUUUCUGUUACAAUGAUUAACUUUUUUCUCACGAAACUUUUGAUAAGACAUGUAGAAUAAAAGUUGUUCAGUUUUGCAAGAUCUAUCUAAUGAUAUAAAAACAAUAGGCCUCAGGGCGUCAUGGCUCGCCUGAACAGUCGAAUUUGUACCACAAUUAAUAACAUUAAUAACUUUUUUCUCGAGAAACUUUUUACUAGACAUGUAGAACAAAAGUUGCUCAGUUUCGCAAGCGUUAAUUAACGAUGUUAAUAAAUAGGCCUGCAGGUCUCAUGGCUCACCUGAACAGUUGGGUUAUUGUUGCAAUCUAUAACAUUUUGGUCAAGAAACUUUUAAUAAGACAUCUAGAACAGAAGUUGUUCAGUUUUGCAAGAUCUUUCGAACAACAUCAUGAAAAAGGCGAACGGGCCUCAUGGCUGAGAACAAAAGUUGCUCAGUUUUGCAAGAUUUUUCAAACGAUAUCAAGAAAAAGGCCAACGAGCCUUAUGACUCGCCUUAACAGUCUGAUAAAUGUCGCAAUCAAUAACUUUUUUCUCAAGAAAAUUUUAAUAGGACAUGUAGAACAAAAUUUGUUCAGUUUUGCGAGAUAUAUCUAGAAUGAUAUAAAAAAAAAAAAAGGCCUCCGGGCAACAUGACUCGCCUGAUCAGUCUCGAAUUUGUAUCGCAGUAAAUAACAUUAUUAACUUUCUUGUCGAAAAAAAGGCUGACCCCUUUAAUUAGUGGCCGAGAGCGGCAGAGAUUCUUUAAUUUAUAGCACUUAAAUGAUCAAUAUCUGUAAAACAUUACCGAAGCUAAAUUGUACGUCUAGACAAUAUAUUUGUAUCAUUAUUUAUGAACGAAAAUCUCAGUCAAAUUCUUAUCUCAUCACAUCUAAAAUUGGACGGAAGACCCACUCGUUGCUCGCAACGAGAUCGCAUCUAGUUAUUAUUUUUUUUUUUUUUUCCCUUUCGUCUCCGAGACCGUUGGAUGGAUUUU